rnacentral:lncRNA from 1 species
GGUUUUGAUACAGGUUUUCACUUGGCUCAUGCUUGUGUUCUGCUACAGGUUGGGUAAUUUUUGUUACCUUGGCUUGAUGCAAGAGUGUUUGGACCUUUACCAUAUUAACUCCCUGUUAUGCUUUUGUACCAAGGUAUGUUAAUAGGUUAUGGUUGGUCAAUUAGCAUUGGUUGGCUAUUGCAAUUGUUAGCUGAGCUUUUGUACCAAGGUAUGUUAAUAGGUUAUGGUUGGUCAAUUAGCAUUGGUUGGCUAUUGCAAUUGUUAGCUGAAUUGGACUGUUAGGCUUAUGAUUACAAGGUCAUUACCUGAUGAUGCAAUGUUGUGGUUUUCCAACUGUUGCAGGAGGAUUCUGCAAUUGGUCAUUGCCUUGAACCACAAUAUUCAUUGUAGAAAUGAUGCUGAGAAAAAUGUUUUGUGUUGGUGCAUAUUCACUGUAGGGUUGUGGUCUAAUGUUGUAUGGGCUGCAAGGCAUUGGUUUCUAUCAGGGCCAAUUUGCAACAUGGUGGAGGUUUGCCUUUUGGCUUGGUGCAGUAGGGUGGCUAAGGUCUACAUUUGGCCUUGGGUUAGUCCUGGAUUUUUGGAUUUGGUUUGGAUAUGAAGUUUCUCGAUGGUUAUGCUGGAUCAUUUCUAUAGGGAGGUUUCCAUGAUGCUGCUUCCAUGAGCCAUUACCACCAUCACAAACUCAAGGUCAAGUGUAGGUUCAGUUGGUUAUGUGCUUAUGGCUUAGGCAAGGCAAAUUGUGUACAACAGGUUGUAACAUGGGCUGCUGCAGCAGUAGGGCUAACAUAGUGUGCUCCCAUUGGCUAGAUCAUGUAUCUUCAUGGUUAUGUUGUAUUAUUUUAGGUUCAAGCCAAGAGUAAUGGGCAAGAGACAAACUCGUGUUGUUAGGGAACUCUUUGGAAAUCUGUUAGGGACCAACCAAAGCCAAGGACCAAUGGCUCCAAAAUGCCAAAGUGACAUGGUGUACAAAAAUGCAUUACUUGCAAUGGAAGCAACCAAGAGAAAGACCUCACCAAGCAUGGAAAAUGGAAGCUCAUCACAUCAAAAGGCUCGACAAGGUUUGGAUGAUCAAGGGCAAGUGAUGGUUGACUUUGGUCAAAGUUAACCAAAAAGUCAACUGUUGACCA